rnacentral:rRNA from 1 species
AUGGCCAUGGCAAUGGCGCUGCCGGCGUCUGCGCACGUGGGAUCAAAAGGCCACACGCUCAUGAUGCAAUUUUUGCACCCGCUCCGGGCGCGGGGGCGCCAGUGGCCUUUGCACCAGCUCUGGCUACCCCUGCUGCUUCCGAUCAUGGGAACAUGGGCAGGAUGGCCGAGGAACUGCAGGACUUCGAGGCCGUAUCCGCCUCCAUGGCCCAGACGAUAUAUCGCCGCUCGGUGA